rnacentral:rRNA from 1 species
UACGUAGGGGGCGAGCGUUGUCCGGAAUUAUUGGGCGUAAAGAGCGUGUAGGCGGUUCGGUAAGUCUGCCGUGAAAACCCAGGGCUCAACCCUGGGCGUGCGGUGGAUACUGCCGGGCUAGAGGGUGGUAGAGGCGAGUGGAAUUCCCGGUGUAGCGGUGAAAUGCGCAGAUAUCGGGAGGAACACCAGUAGCGAAGGCGGCUCGCUGGGCCGGUACUGACGCUGAGGAGCGAAAGCGUGGGGAGCAAACAGG